GUAAAAUCAAUUUUGCAUGGAAACAAAUAGUUAUGAUUUGAAAGAAAAAAUGGUCUUGAGCACAUGGAAAAAUAGAAUUUUAUGGGACCUACUUAUAUCUAAAUGCAUGAUUUUCAUUUAUUUGUUAUUACAUGUGGGCCAUCUUUCAUGGAAUCACCACUACAUUAUGUAAUUUCUCAUAAAAGAAGCCCUAUUUUGAUUACAUUACAAACAUGCCACAUCAAUAAUGAUUAAAGGUGCGACAAUUUUAUUUUAUUCACAAUUUUCCAUCAAUUUCUUAACUAUAAAUGGCUCCUCUCUUUGAUGGUUAUACAAUUAUGCCACCAAUCUAUUUUUGCUCUAAAUUGAUUUUACUCAAUUUGAGCGCAUCAAGCAGAAAUGACCUUUUUUUCAUGUGUGUGUUGGAUUGCAGGCGUGCUGGGGACACUAAGAUCCCAAUUGUGUUGUAUGAAUGUGCUGGUCUAACUUCUAAUAUGAUCAAUAGGUGAAAACUAAAGGAUCAAAUUUUCCCUUGGAUUCCUUGACUCCACAAGAAUGUGCUUUAUGAAGAUCUCUACCUAAAUAAGCUUUGAAAGCUUGAGAAAAUGGAAUUUGAGUGCUUGUAAUUGAAAGAUUGCUUGUGCAUGAAAGAGUAAAGGUUAUGCUUGAAAAGUAAAGGUUGUUCAUGGCUAUCACUUCAAAAAGAAAAUAUAAAUUUUGUGCUUGAUUGAAAGAGUAAAUUACUUGCUGAGAAAAUAUAAAUAUAUGCAAAAAAUGUAAAUGAGAGCUUUGAAAAAUUGAAGAGUUGAUUUACUUGAAAAUAUAGACAUUUGUAAGAAAAAGUAAACUGGGCUUGCAGAAAAUUAAAAAGCUGAUUUGUAAGAAUUGAAAUACAAACAAAAGAACUGUGAAUUGCAUUAAAAACUGAAGAUCUUGAUUAUAGGUAACGAAAUAUUUGCAGAAGAAUGGUGAAUUAAUAUCUUGAAAUGAAAAUAAAAGGACUGGAAUAAAACUAAUACUAGAUCAAAAAACUAAAAAGACUGCUAAAAUAUAAAGAAAAAAGUUGAACUAAAGGAAUUGAACUAAGACAUUGUUCCUAUCAGAUUGUCUGUUUUGG
rnacentral:misc_RNA from 1 species